AUUGAACGCUGGCGGCAGGCCUAACACAUGCAAGUCGAGCGGAGCGGCGGACGGGUGAGUAAUGCCUAGGAAUCUACCUGGUAGUGGGGGAUAACGUCCGGAAACGGGCGCUAAUACCGCAUACUAUCAGAUGAGCCUAGGUCGGCUUAGCUAGUUGGUGGGGUAAAGGCCUACCAAGGCGACGAUCCGUAACUGGUCUGAGAAGAUGAUCAGUCAAAUUGUAAUGGAGACAGGGUCCAGACUCAUACGGGAGGCAGCAGUGGGGAAUAUUGGACAAUGGGCGUAAGCAUGAUCCAGCCAUGACGCGUGCGUGAAGCAGGUCUUCGGAUUGUAAAGCCCUUUAAGUUGGGAGGGGUUCCCAACAGAAUAAGCCCAGGCGAACUCCGUGCCAGCAGCCGCGGUAAUUC
rnacentral:rRNA from 1 species